rnacentral:rRNA from 1 species
UACGAAGGGGGCUAGCGUUGUUCGGAAUUACUGGGCGUAAAGCGCACGUAGGCUGUGUCGCAAGUCAGUGGUGAAAAUCCCAGAGCUUAACUCUGGAACUGCCAUUGAAACUGCGAUGCUAGAAUCUCAGAGGGGGUAGCGGAAUUCCAAAUGUAGGGGUGAAAUCCGUAGAUAUUUGGAGGAACACCGGUGGCGAAGGCGGCUACCUGGAUGAGUAUUGACGCUGAGGUGCGAAAGCGUGGGGGAUCAAACAGG